GAAAAGCUUGCUUUUCAAAACUUAGCGGCGGACGGGUGAGUAACACGUGGGCAACCUGCCCUUGAGACGGGGAUAACUCCGGGAAACCGGAGCUAAUACCGGAUAACACAUAUCUUCGCAUGAGGAUAUGUUAGAAGGUGGCUUUUAGCUACCACUCAAGGAUGGGCCCGCGGCGCAUUAGCUAGUUGGUGAGGUAACGGCUCACCAAGGCGACGAUGCGUAGCCGACCUGAGAGGGUGAUCGGCCACACUGGGACUGAGACACGGCCCAGACUCCUACGGGAGGCAGCAGUAGGGAAUCUUCCGCAAUGGACGAAAGUCUGACGGAGCAACGCCGCGUGAGUGAUGAAGGUUUUCGGAUCGUAAAGCUCUGUUGUUAGGGAAGAACAAGUACCUGUUAAAUAAGCAGGUACCUUGACGGUACCUAACCAGAAAGCCACGGCUAACUACGUGCCAGCAGCCGCGGUAAUACGUAGGUGGCAAGCGUUGUCCGGAAUUAUUGGGCGUAAAGCGCGCGCAGGCGGUUCCUUAAGUCUGAUGUGAAAGCCCACGGCUCAACCGUGGAGGGUCAUUGGAAACUGGGGAACUUGAGUGCAGAAGAGGAGAGCGGAAUUCCACGUGUAGCGGUGAAAUGCGUAGAGAUGUGGAGGAACACCAGUGGCGAAGGCGGCUCUCUGGUCUGUAACUGACGCUGAGGCGCGAAAGCGUGGGGAGCGAACAGGAUUAGAUACCCUGGUAGUCCACGCCGUAAACGAUGAGUGCUAAGUGUUAGAG
rnacentral:rRNA from 1 species